AACAAACGCUGGCGGCGUGCCUAAUACAUGCAAGUCGAACGGGGAAAGCUUUCGGGUGAGUACUAGUGGCGCACGGGUGAGGAACGCGUGGAUAAUCUGCCUUAGAGUGGGGGAUAACUAGUCGAAAGAUUAGCUAAUACCGCAUAAGACCACAGGAGCUGCGGCUCUAGGGGUCAAAGGUUUUUCGCUCUAAGAUGAGUCCGCGUAAGAUUAGCUAGUUGGUGAGGUAACGGCUCACCAAGGCGACGAUCUGUAACUGGUCUGAGAGGAUGAUCAGUCACACUGGAACUGAGACACGGUCCAGACUCCUACGGGAGGCAGCAGUAGGGAAUAUUGCACAAUGGAGGAAACUCUGAUGCAGCGACGCCGCGUGAGUGAUGAAGGCCUUCGGGUCGUAAAGCUCUGUCGCAGGGGAAUAACACAAUGAAUGUACCCUGUAAGAAAGGAUCGGCUAACUUCGUGCCAGCAGCCGCGGUAAGAC
rnacentral:rRNA from 1 species